AGCUUGUUGUCUGCCUCCUCUGUCCCAUAGUCCUGAUUCUCUGAUGUUUGCAGAUUGUCUGACUUGUUGCAGCGCUUCCAAACGAGGAUCUGUCCCACUCCUGCUGUCCCUCCCAGGAGCCCUGUUGCUCUCAGGCAGCCCCUGAGAGGCGCCUCUCAACUCUGCCUCUAUACGUCUCCUCCUUGGAAGUGAAUGGCUGUAUCGAGCUGCCCAAGCUUCCAGCUCCCGAUAGCUGCUGUCGCUCCUCUUUGCAGAAACUUCCCUGUUGUAGCGGACAGGACCACAGGGCUCCCACCUUCUAUGCCACCCUUCCCUCAGAAAUCCUCUCUCAUAUUCCCUCGAUGAUCGUUGAGCUGCUGUCCACUCUCUGUCUCUGGCUUCCUGUGGCUGAUGGUCUCCCUGGUCCUGGUGCUGCUGAGUGUGACGCUCAAGAAUAAAAGGGAAGUGAGAAGAUGUAGCAGCUAUCAGAUCUUGGUCGGUCCAUUGAGUGUACUCCUGUGGAGCCCCUCCUGUUCUUGAUCCUGGUACAGUCCAGUAGCUGGACUCCCUGUUCUGUUCCUGCUGAUCACCGUGGUACAGUGGAUAAUGGGGAACCUGAUGUCUGUCGUGGGGACUGUGGGUGAAAUGAUGAAAAAUGUAUUCCCAGACCCGGGAAGCCACGCCGAGGCUUGCCCCGAACACCUGUCUGAUCUUCAGCUGCUGGCCAGCCAACGUGUACACGGUGUCUUGAGAAAAUGUCUCCGCAAACAGACAGUCUUCAACAGGAAACGGGUCGUCUUCUUCUCCUGCACAAUUCAUAGUUGUGUUUCACCUCAUCAAUCCCCUCUGUCCAUUUGGGAGGCAGCUUCUUUGUGACUCCGAUGGCCGCUUCAGGAUCCAGACUAAUCCCUGACACCAGGGCCAUACGAUCGUCUGCCAACUUGAAAAAAACAAAUUAUAAAUGAUUCUAUUAAAAGUGUUUUCUGAGAUAAGUCAAUAUGAUGAUGCAGUAAAACAAAUUGUGUAAACAAUUCCUCCACAAAAGGGACACAACAGUACCUCAUCAAGCUCCUAAUGUGAUUGGCCGAUAGCAGAUGGGUCCCAUCCAAUAGAAAACAAGGAAAAGGAGAGAGGGACAGAAGUAAGAGAAAGUGAGGCCCAGAAAAAUCUGCAGUUAUUACCAGAAAAGUGCUUUUGCAUCCAUUCUGCUAUAUAAUGAAUACAUCUGAAGUGUAACAUAAUAAUUGCUGUACAGCAGAGGAACAUAAUAUCUGGCAGAACUGAGAAUCAUUUGUCCUGAGUUUACAUGUUUAUGUGCAAAAGUGUAAAUCUAGAGAGAGCGCCACAAUAGGCUACAUCACAUUUAUCUGGUAAAUAUUUGCACAUUAUCCCACUUUAAAUAAAGCAUUAACAAAAAAUGAGCAGGAAUUAAAUAUGUCAUAGAAUAUUAAAAAGACACUGUGUUUCUUUUAGAUGAAUAUGUCCCUUGUGUCGUGUCUUGUUUGAACUGACAGUCUCUUCUGCCUUCUGGCAAAGUCAGUUAUUUUAAAACAGCUUUAACAAGCUGAAUGUUUGUUUUCUAACACUGUUUUAGUCAUUGCCUUUUAGUCACUGCAAAUAUAUUUCUGUCGCUGAAAUAAAUAACCUGAUAUCAUAAUUGCACUACUGUAAAAAGAAAAAAGGUUUAGAAUGAAUUGAAUCACAAUCUCAACACUAGCUCAUGUAUAUUUAAUCUGUGACGUUGAUCUGACAUAGCAGAGAUAUCUUAAUCAACACA